rnacentral:lncRNA from 1 species
UAUUAAGUCUCUCAAAAAUUACAUAUUUCAAUUUUAGUCCCCCACAAAAUAAAUUUAGAGUUUCUGAAUCCAUUCUUACGUCUAUUUCGCGCCAAAACGUUCUUAACUUAGUCAACCACUAUAAAAAUACUGACUAAAAAAAAUUCAUGCUGCAAUUUGCCUCUUUGCUAAGGUCUCGUAUAUCACCGUUCGUGGGCUUCGACCUGACUCAAUACACUUGUACGCUGGGUCUAUUGUUUGGCCUCUUGCCGUUAGGUCUCUUGUGGAUUACACUCCCACUCAACUUAUUAGGUUCAUCCAACUCAACUUAUUAGUCUCCUGAAUCUAUCGUCACGGAGUAAAAAGUUGGACCUAUUUUAGCCCAAUAAUAAAGAGCCAACAAAUUAAUUUAACUAUUGAAUAUAAAUGAUUAAAAUAUUAUUAUUUUGGUAGUUUGAUUUUUUAGAAUAAUUAAUUAUUUCACUUGGUUUAAAAAUAAAAGUCCUAACUUCAGCAGGUCAUAAAUAUUAACCAAAAAACACGUAUCAAUAGAAAUGAUAUACCUAUUGUACUUAAGAACUUGGUUAUGAGGCUUGCGGAUUUUGACCUGACUCAACUUAUCUGGACGCACUAUAACAGAAUUAGGUUAUAGGGACACAUGUUUGGGACACUUUUUUGUAACUGUCCAAUUUAUAGCAAAACUUAAAAACAAAUCUACUAAUGUCUAAAUAUAAAAUCCAAUCCAACCAAAAUGAAAGGUUCCUCUACUCAACCCACUCCACCCAGCCCAUUUGAUCCGAUUAUAAACAGAAAAGAAAAAAAAAAAGAAAAAUCGAUUACCAUCUCGAUCCCCUUCUUCCCUCACUCAACCCACUGAAAUUCUAGACGAAGAGCCCUUCCCUCUCGUCCUCCUCCGCCACCGCAGCCAACGAGGUAGAGUUUCGGCGGUUGCUAAAUGCUUAAAUAAGUGUUGGUAAAUUAGCAGCACUCUUUGUAGAUUAUAGCGUCGACACUCUUUAACUGUCACUAUAUACCUAGCGACCCCAUAUAUAGUAACACUUUUUAAAAGUAUCGGUAAUUUAGUCAACAACACUUUUUCUGAUUUGUACUGACACUUAAAAAUAUCGCUGUAGACCAUUAAUUUUGUUGUAGUGACGUUGGAUCUAUUGUUGAUGUCUCUUGCUGCUAGGUUUAUUAUUGAUCGUAGUCCAACUCC